rnacentral:misc_RNA from 1 species
AUUAUUAUUAUUAUUAUUCCUUUUCCCUGCAGAAGCUGAAAAUUGGUUGUUCAAUAGCAAGCAUCGAUUAACUGAAAUGAGAUGAUGGGUGUGAACAUGACCAUCAAAGCACAUGGAUUCCCAAUUCAUAAAAUCGAUUCAGACCCAAAUUACCAUAAUGAAUCUAGGGAAAUGGCAGAUAAGAAGCACAUAGAAUCAUGGAUUCCACACACAACAUUAACAUCAUCAAACAAAUUAUCCAAAACACAUGCGCAUGGUCCAUUCUCAAGUCUCACAAAACAGGAAGAGAAAAAGAAAAAAAAAAGUAAAG